GUAGGAUCGGAGUCGUUCCUCUAUGGACGUGAUGACCUGGCACCAAAACCGCUUAAUUUGUAUGAAGCCGUGUCUGCAUCGAGGGAAGAACCCAGCACUGAAAUGACACAAAUGAAAGAGGACGUCUUCUCUGCUGGGUGUGCGACACUACUUAUUCUAGGAAUCCUCAAACAUCAGGAUGUAGGAAACUUAUGGUGAGAUGCCAAGAGCCGCCAUGAGGGAUAUGCAACCUGCAGCUUCACCAUGCUUUUGGGAGAUCAUGUACUACGUGAACCUUGAGUAUCUACAAGCCAGCUACUUUAAGUUCUUGAAAGGGUAGUGAUGUCAUUCAAGCCAGAUCACGAGACAAGGUCCUGUACAAACUGUCAAUCUAAAUGUUGCGACAUCCCUGUCAGUUCUUUUGGACUGAAUACAUGCUGUGUUUGAAAUA